rnacentral:snRNA from 1 species
UGGGCUCCCCAUUCGACCCG